AAUCACAUUACAGUUGUUCCCAACCAUAUGUAUUUUUGUGUUAUUUAGUUUUAAAUGAUUGUGUGUUAGUAAUUUUCGGGUUUCAGGACUGAUGCUUAAAAUUGAAUUUUUACAACGCGUUUUUGUUUUUAAAAGUAAGAAGAAAUUAUGUCAAUUUAACGUGUUUUACAUAGGAGAAAUUGCGGCGGGGAUACUUCACCGUCCAUAGCACUUUGUCUUCAUGUCCACCUCGUGAUAUGUAUCAAAAUUAAAUUUAUAACCAAAUAUUUAUAAUAUGACGUCAAGAAACAAAAAAGAACUAUCAUCCAUUUAGCACAUGAUCAAAAAGAUUUGUGUUCACAGAUAUUUUAUUUGAUAUUGAUAUGAACAGAAAAGAGUUGUUACGUUUCUAAUACAAAAUAUAGUGCAUUUCUAAUUCUAAAAAGGGGAAUUGGAGUCUUUAUACAUAAGAAAAGGAAAAAUUAACUCCAUACCCAUAACAUCACUUUGGCUACUAUAUGUUAUAUAUUGUUGUAUAAAGUACCAAAAGCGCGUGUAAACAUCAACGAGUAUUAUUAUCUUGCAAAUUGAAAAAUUGUUUCUACUUUACAAACUCUUGCAUACAGCGAAGAAGGAAGAUUUGAAGAGGGUGCGUGCUUUCGGUCGUGCGGUAUAAGUAGGAUAUUGAGAGUUAGGGUUUCAGUGGUUUUUUUCAAUUUUACGGCGGCACAAUUGAGUUUCCAAACCCAACAAAUCAAGGUGUCUGGUUUGUUGGGUUGGAGAUAGUGAAAACAGACGAUGGAUUGAAUUGGGGAAGAUGAACAGUAACGUUGUGCAAUGUACUCUAUUCUAUUUUAUAAUUACAGUAUACUAUGUUACAAUUCUUCUCCUCCUCUUCGGUAAAGUGUAUCUCCUUUGCCUUAUGAUUCUUCUCCUUCACUACUCCAUCAGCUUUGUUGUCUUAUCCUUCAGUAUUGUCGCUAAUAUAUAGCUUUCACCUUAUUUAUAUAUUGAGUGGUAAUGUGUAUUUGCGUUUUGAAAUUUUAUGCUUUAUAAAUGGUAUUAUUUUGCUAUUGUGUUGAAUGAAUGCUCUAAGUUAAUGGAGAUUCACAUACAUGUUUGUAUUGACAGUUUAUAUAGCUUUCAUACAUCUUUGAAUAAACAUUACAUUAUAGUAUACUAAUCUAUUCAUCAAAAUAGUAUAGUUUCCUCUUAUGUCGCUUUCACUCUUACACUCCCUCCUACUCUUUCUCUCCUCCCCUCCCUCCCCCGAUCUCUCUUUGUAUUGACAGUUUAUAUAGCUUUCAUACAAUCUUUGAAUAAACAUUACAUUAUAGUAUAUUAAUCUAUUCAUCAAAAUAGUAUAGUUUCCUCUUAUGUCGCUUUCACUCUUACACUCCCUCCUACUCUUUCUCUCCUCCCCUCCCUCCCCCGAUCUCUCUUUGUCUUUCUCUCCAUUCCUCCUUCCUUUCCUCCAUACUUCUAUCUUUCCUCCUUCCUCCUCCUCCCCUUCUGUUCCUCACCUAUCCAUUUUUCUCCUUUUCCCAAUCAUCAAUAUAGUAACUAUCAUCAAUUACCAUACUAUUCUAAAUGAAAUAUAGUAUAUUUUAGACCUUCAAGGUUAGGGUUUAGGUAGCUCCGUUAUGGGCGAUGGUUUGGUUUUACAAUUUGGGUUUAGGGUUUAGGUUAAGGGUUUACGGUUUGGGUUUAGUGUUUAGAGUUUCGGUUUAGGGGGUUUUGGAUUUAAGGUUUGGGUUUAGGGUCUACGGUUUGGGUUUAGACCUUCAAGGUUAGGGUUUAGAUAGUUCCGUUAUGGACGAUGGUUUGGUUUUACAAUUUGGGUUUAGAAUUUGGAUUUAGGGGGUUUAGGGUUUAAGUAGCUCCGUUUGAGUCUAUGGUUUGGGUUAAGAAUUUGUGUUUAGGGUUUGGGUUUAUGGUUUACAGUUUUGGUUUAGGGUUUAGGUAGCUCCGUUAUGGUUUACGGUUUGAGUUAAGAAGUUGGGUUUAGGGUUUGGGUUUAAGGUUUAAGGGUUAUCUUUUGAGACUAUAUUACAUUUUAUAUAGUAUAGUAUAGCAUGUGCAUUGAAAUCAUUUGCACGCACGCGCUUCGGAGGUUAUUACGGGUAAUUUUAGGUGAACUUGUCACAUCGAUGAGUUUUUACUGUAGAAUGGCUAUAUUCUUCAUUUUAGUGCUCCUUAUGAAUAUUCAGCAAAUUGUCCCUUCUAAAAAUAGCCUAUUCUAAAAGCUCCAUAUUAACGUAUGAUAUGUAGUAUACGAGAAGUUAUAAAUUUUUAGCAUUAUGUAUGUAACAACCAUGAAUUUUAUCCGCCACUGAGGAGAUAACUAAGGUUCUGACUGGUUCAAACGCAGCGGUUGCGGCUGCGGUUGUGAGAGUUUGCGAAUGCGGGUGGUUGCGGUUUCUAACGGUUUUAAGAGAUUUGUACGACUGGUUCCGCGGUUAAAAAUUGGAGCGUUUGCGGGAUAUUUAUGACUGGUUAAUUACACAUACAGCUGCGGUUAAAUAAUAAAUUAACAAUACUUACAUUUUAU